rnacentral:rRNA from 1 species
GGCGAGUGAAGCGGCAAUAGCUCAAAUUUGAAAUCUGGCACCCUCGGUGUCCGAGUUGUAAUUUGAAGAAGGUAUCUUUGGUUUUGGCUCUUGUCUAUGUUCCUUGGAACAGGACGUCACAGAGGGUGAGAAUCCCGUGCGAUGAGAUGCCCAAUUCCAUGUAAAGUUCCUUCGACGAGUCGAGUUGUUUGGGAAUGCAGCUCUAAGUGGGUGGUAAAUUCCAUCUAAAGCUAAAUAUUGGCGAGAGACCGAUAGCGAACAAGUACUGUGAAGGAAAGAUGAAAAGAACUUUGAAAAGAGAGUGAAAAAGUACGUGAAAUUGUUGAAAGGGAAGGGCUUGAGGUCAGACUUGGUUUUACCAGGCCAGCAUCAGUUUGGACGGCAGGAGAAUAACUAAGGAAAGUGGCUCCGCUUCGGGGGAGUGUUAUAGCCUUUGUUGAUACUGCCUGUCUAGACUGAGGACUGCGUCUUUGACUAGGAUGCUGGCAUAAUGACCUUAAGCCGCCCGUC